ensembl:lncRNA
AUAUGAGCAAAAAGAGUCAAAUAGAAAGGAAAAAAUGUAUCUACAACAAAACCAGCAGACAGCUAAAUUCCACAUCACAGACUACUAAAGAAUAUCUCCUAGAAGCAAGAUCAUUUGAACCAAAUUAAUUGAAGAUGGAUGUUCAGAACUUUAUCCUAUAUCCUCUGAUAUUGGGAAAGAAUCAAAUUUCGAAUCAGUGGAUUAAAAAGAGCCUUACUAGUAAUCUUUAACCUGACACAGAAAGGAUUAACUCUAUGGAUGGAUCGAGGAGAAAUAAAGAGAACCUUGACUGGGGCACCAUUCUGUUCCAAAGAAUGGCAAGAAAGGAUGAAGAAUUGGCUGGAGGUAAAAAUCUCAUUGAAAAUCUUUGUCAGUGGAGUGAGAAACUUACAUCCAUGCAAGGGCACAGCAAGAAGGCAGCCAUCUGCAAGCCAGGAAGAGGACCUCACUGGUUCCUGGCCAUGCCAGCAUCCUGAUAUUGGACCUCCAGCUUCCAGAACUGUAAGAAACAAAUGUCUGUUAUCUAAGUGA